GGCCGGGCCCGGUGGCUCACGCCUGUAAUCCCAGCACUUUGGGAGGCCGACGCGGGUGGAUCACGAGGUUAGGAAAUCGAGACCGUCCUUGCCAACAUGGUGAAACUCCAUCUCUACUGAAAAUACCAAAAAAUA